UCUCUCCGCAGCCUUGGCAUGAGCCUCCAUGGGAAAGCAAACAAUCGUUUGUUAGCUUGACAUGAAGAAUGAAGAGAGCGAGAGGAUAAGCUAAGAGAAGGUGAGGGUCGAGUGCACAGGAGAGGAAAACACCAGACAAAGAGCGGCGAGGCUGAAGGUCGCAGAGGUGGAAGGAUUAGUUUAGUCUGCACAUAAAAGACUCCAUUUAAGUUUGGGACGGAAAAACGACGUCGAUACUGUGGAUCUGCACCAAACGAUCGGCAAAAAGUGUUUUGUUUGAGAGGAGCAAGAGCGACUGUGCACGAUUCCCAGUGGGCAAACUUCACACACCUUGGUUGACAUCAAAUUCAAGGACCUUCCAGGACAAAUUCCCUAAAAUUUAAGGACUAGCAUGUGGUGAGACAGCUUAAGAUAGAAGGGCAACUUGUGUUCGUCCACGAUGGCGUCCACUUUCACACGUGAUUGUCCUUGAAGUCUUUGUCAAAGUCAGUCUUUGUCAUUUUGUCUUUGGUGAGACAGAGAUGUUGGAAUCUUCAUUUGCUCCCUCUUGUCUUAACUUUACUCGCUCAUUGUUCUGCACGGAAUCUCACGAGACAGUGGACAGUGUCCCACAACACCGUUUGUCCUGCAUAGGCCGGGUCUACGUGCAUCAAGCAACGCAGGGCGUGAAACAGUAGGUGGCGUCGUAACAAACAAGUGGUGUCCAUGUCAGAUUAUCAAUCACAGCGGCGCGGAUUCUUCAUCCCGGCGCUGGCGUUCUCUGGAGUGCAACGAGGGAAAGUUUACCAGAGAGCUGUAAAUGUCAGAAAAAAACCACAGACGCUGGAAUUCUGGAAGAUGAUACAGAGUUCCCAAAACGCAAACUCCUCUGUGCCUGCAUGAAUGAGACGUUUAAAUAAUGCUGCACGAGGCCGUGGGGAUUGUCCAGUGGUUUUAUGGUGUUUUUAAAGUUUUUUUAACGAGGUUUGUGCGAUGUUUGUUACGUGUCAUAUGUUUUACCGAGUAACCAAACGAGUCCAAGGCAAAUAUGGGACAAUAAAGUGUAUAUUGAUUGAUUGAUGGGUAGUUACUGAUUGAAGUUUAGUCAAUUUCCUCGAUCUCUAUUGGUUUAAAGCUUGAAAGUGAGGUGUAAAGUCACAUGACGUCCUGAGCUCCAGGGGAAUGUUUAAUAAACAUUAUACGUGUC